AACGAACGCUGGCGGCAUGCCUAACACAUGCAAGUCGAACGAGACCUUCGGGUCUAGUGGCGCACGGGCGCGUAACGCGUGGGAACCUGCCUUUAGGUUCGGAAUAACUCAGAGAAAUUUGAGCUAAUACCGGAUGAUGUCUUCGGACCAAAGAUUUAUCGCCUUUAGAUGGGCCCGCGUUGGAUUAGCUAGUUGGUGGGGUAAAGGCCUACCAAGGCGACGAUCCAUAGCUGGUCUGAGAGGAUGAUCAGCCACACUGGGACUGAGACACGGCCCAGGCUCCUACGGGAGGCAGCAGUGGGGAAUAUUGGACAAGGGGCGAAAGCCUGAUCCAGCAAUGCCGCGUGAGUGAUGAAGGCCUUAGGGUUGUAAAGCUCUUUUACCCGAGAUGAUAAUGACAGUAUCGGGAGAAUAAGCUCCGGCUAACUCCGUG
rnacentral:rRNA from 1 species